rnacentral:rRNA from 1 species
UAUUGGACAAUGGACCAAGAGUCUGAUCCAGCAAUUCUGUGUGCACGAUGAAGUUUUUCGGAAUGUAAAGUGCCUUCAGUUGGGAAGAAAAAAAUGUCGGUACCAACAGAAGAAGUGACGGCUAAAUACGUGCCAGCAGCCGCGGUAAUACGUAUGUCACAAGCGUUAUCCGGAUUUAUUGGACGUAAAGCGCGUCUAGGUGGUUAUAUAAGUCUGAUGUGAAAAUGCAGGGCUCAACUCUGUAUUGCGUUGGAAACUGUGUAACUAGAGUACUGGAGAGGUAAGCGGAACUACAAGUGUAGAGGUGAAAUUCGUAGAUAUUUGUAGGAAUGCCGAUGGGGAAGCCAGCUUACUGGACAGAUACUGACGCUGAAGCGCGAAAGCGUGGGUAGCAAACAGG